GGAGGAGGGUGGUGCUGGCAACGGCUGCAGGUGAUGACUGCUGAAAGAAGAGGAGGCUGGAGGCUGCUGACGGUGGACCAGGAAUGGAGAUGCCAAGUACAUCGAUGGCAACGAGUCAUGGCAUGAGGGAAGGUUGCUGUCCAGCAACAUGGCUUCUUGUUCCAGCUGUGACACUGCAUUUGAGGACUCCAUGAGGGAAUCGCUCAUCCUCACACGGAAACGCUGCUCCACGUUCUGAACAAGGGUGAAAACCUCAUCAGAUGGACGGUAAUCUGGCUCUAGUUUGGUCUGUGUUGAAGAUUUUUUUAAACUUUAGAUUAAUCAAAUUGUGGUUUUUUUUAAUGCCGAAUUAAUCCUUUUCCGGUUUACCAGAGCCCUCUCUGCUCUCUUUCUUAGUAAUCUCUCCCUUCUCAGUUGCCUCAUUAGAUCCUCCACGUGAGCCCGGUCACAACUGACCCUGGCAAACUGGCCUCUUCAUAGCUGACCCCUGACUGACUGGCUCCUGGCACACUGAUCUCUGGGAAGCCAUACAUCCGGAACCCCUUCUCGGAUCGAUUAGAGCAUCCAAAUGCUGCACAUCCAACCAUGGGCCCAGGAAACAGAUGAAGAGGAUGUCCCUUUCACAAAGGAACCUUUUUGUUUUUUUCAAAAUGGUUAGGCUCCUGGAUGCCCCAGAGUUCUGUAUUGCUUUUUUGUAAAUAGUUGUAAUAAUUGUUGUUCGCACAAUUAUGCUUCUGUUUUUCACUUUUUGGUGUCCAUUGUUCAGCCACUGUAUUGGUAAGCAACAAUUUGUUUUGGCCAAAAUGUGUUAUUCACACUCCUGACUCCAGUUUGAUGUGCUGCACUCUCCUCUGAGUGGUCCUGAUUUCAGGCAGAGGUCAUGGCUUGGAAGGUUUUAUAUCCUGUAGUGCCUCAACAGAACCUAAUAUGAAUUGCUUUUUUCAGUUUCUCUUUUUUUUAUUGUCUCGUCGCUGGAUCACCUCCCCCUGGCAAAGUGGCCUCGUCAUUGACAAACCUGUUUGUGUUGCUCUAUUGAACCAUGGUUCAACAGGAGCUUCUGUAAAUAGUUUUGUAAAUAGUUUGAAUAUUUAUCAUAGUAAUCAUUUUCAGUCUCCCACUCUCUCAAUUUAAUUUAUCGUUUCUUUGCCCCACCAUAUGUUUUGUUGUCCAAGGGCACUCAUUUG